AGUGGUGUGACUCAGCCGGUAGAGUGCUUGCCUAGCGUGCAUGAAGCCCUGGGUUCUAUUACCAGUACUGCAU
rnacentral:tRNA from 1 species